UCCUGGUGGUCUAGUGGUUAAGGAUACAACAUUGUCAUUGUUGUGGCACAGGUUCAAUCCCUGACCCAGGAA
rnacentral:tRNA from 1 species